AACGAACGCUGGCGGCAUGCCUAACACAUGCAAGUCGAACGAGACCUUCGGGUCUUGUGGCGCUCGGGUGCGUUACGCGUGGGAACCUGCCCUUAGGUUCUGAACAACUCCCCGAAAGGGGUGCUCAUACCGGAUAAUCUCUUCGCACCAAAGAUCUAUCGGCUUUGGAUGGGCCCGCGUUGGUUUCGCUAGUUGGUAGUGUAAAAGCAUACCAAGGCGACGAUCCAUAGCUGAUCUGAGAGGAUGACAAACCACACUGGAACUGAGACACGGCCCAGAAUACUACGGGAGGAAGCGGUGGAGAAUAAUAGGCGAGGAACAAAAGACUAGACAAGCAGUGUGGCGUAAGAGGUGAAGGACAUAGGGUAGUAAAGCUCAAUUUCCCGAGAAGAUAAUGAAAGUACCGGGGGAAGAAGAUCCGGCUAACUCCGUG
rnacentral:rRNA from 1 species